UUCGUCUAUUGUUUAAAUAUUGUUUGCCACAAAUCAUAAGCGUUGAUAUAAUUUCUUAAAUAAAAUAUUUAAAUGACAAGUGAUUAUAAGGAUUCAUAUGUGUGCGAUUAUACUUAAAAGACGUGAACGGACCGCGUUUUGUCUCCUUUAUCUUCUCUCCAACACAUGACUCACCAUGAUUUUUAAACUACUGAUAUCAACAGCUGUUUUUCAUUUUGCACACGGUUUAACCUUAAGUUGUGUUCCUGGUGUGCCUGGAUAUCUAUCCAAUAUGACAUGCACUUGUAGAAACCCAACUAAAAAUGGUGUUGAAUGGCGACUUAACUCGCAAAUUGUUAAUACUUGCUCAGGCACUGAAGACAAUUGUUUUCCGCCUUCUUUACAGUACACAUCAUCUGUGUCUAGUGAUGAAUUUUACAUCGCGGUCAGCCCUUACUCGUACACAAAUUGUGCAACAUAUAGUUGCAGAGACCCAAUCACGGGCGAAGAAGUGUCUGCCAUAACCUCAA